CGUCAACAACAUUUAUAUCAAAUCACAGUCAAAAAUAGGUAUAUAUGCAUGCUCAGGAUCCAACAUCUAUGUAUGCACGAGCCAAUGCAUGAGUCCAGUAUGCUCCUAAUCCAAUAUCAAUAUGUUAAUCAAGAAAUUUUCAAAAUGCUUUCUACUUGGCCUACUAAUUUUUUCUUUAAAAAGUUCUUCCCUCUUUUAGUUUAAUUUAAGAAUUCGGUCUUCAAAAAAAAAUAAAAAUAUAUAUAUAUGCGCAUCACUACAUUCCACGCGAUAGACCGGUGAUUUAAGAGUAACGGGAAGAAUAGUAAGAGAUCUUGUGAGAGUUCUGGAGUAUUAAUUAGUAGGAUUCUUUGAAACCAUAAGGUCUCAUCGUUUUCUGUUGCUCUCUUCGUUUUCUAUUAGCAAAGUUUAUCAGCAUUUGAACUAGAUAACAAUCCACUUUAACCAAAAACUUAAGGUUUUUUUGGUCUGAACCAAAAGCAUAACUAGAGAACAUGUAUUGAAGAUAUAGCAAAGUUAAUCAACUCUGGUUAGCUGGUCUAAACCAAAAGCAUAACUAGAGAACAUGUAUAGAAGUAUAGCAAAGUUAAUCAACUCUGGUUAGCUAUAGUGGAGUUCCUCUGAAACUAUCCAAAAUCUUUCCUAUCCCCUCACUGAUCCAAAUCAAUUAUUGUCAGUCUCUUAUCUUAUUUUGAAAAGAACGCCUGAUUCGAAGUGCUAAUAGUGAAUAGUUACAUACCUUUACAUCUCCACUAGACAAAAGGAGCUUCAACUCUUAUCUGCGUUGUCGUCUCUUUCUUGAUGGUUCUGAU
rnacentral:lncRNA from 1 species